rnacentral:lncRNA from 1 species
CUAGAAGGUGGGAAUAGCUACUGUAACAGCUAAGGUGGGUGCACAUCUGGCAUGUUCAAGGAACCACAAGAGCCCAUGUGCUGGCGUGGAGUGAGGUGGGAUAGGUGACGAGGUCAGAGGGGUACAGGUGGGGUGGGGAGAGCAGAUCAUGAAGGAACCAUCAGAGAGUUUGAUCAAGGGCGCGACAUGAUCUGAUGUAGGUGUUGUCAAGAUCCAUCUAGUCACUGUGGGGAGAGGAGACUGGGGAGCAAGAUGGACACACAGAAUGUGAUUGAAAUUUGGUCCUCUCUCUCAGAUGCUGAGAGAGAGAGAAGAUGAAGAUGGCCUUUGAUCUGCUCUCUCUGGGGGAGAGAUAUAAACAAAUAAUUAAACACAGCUAAGCAAUGGUACCAACGAGAGCCAGCAAUCCCGACUAAGCAAUAACAAUAACUGGCAUUUAGCUGUCACUGACUACAGCCUCAUCUUCUUCACAUGUUAUAGAUUUAUUCCUCCAAAAAACCCUACAAAGUAGGAGGCACAAUUUCCGGGCCAUCAAUCGGCAAAUGCCACCCAGUUUCUUAGCACUCUAAGCUGCCAGUGGCGUAUAAAGACACACUGAGGCCCUGGGAAGUUAGGCAACUUGCUGAAAACCAAGCUCAACGUAAGUGGCAGAGCUGGGAUCCGAGCCCAGGCAGCCUGACUCCAGAGCAGGGUUCUGAAUAGGUCGUGAUGUUGGCUCCAAAUAUCUUCCUUGUAGUCAUUUGAGCUUCUGAUCUCUGUCUGAGGAAAGAGAAAAACAUCCAAGGAAAAUACAAAGUCCUCUCAAAAUGAUAACGGACAGAUUUACGAGGCUGAGGACGGCGGUAAAAGCAGCAAGAGGCUUUAACGAGCUAAGAAUUCUUUUAGCCUAAGAAAGCGAUUUGCAUCUUUCCCAAAUUAUAAAAAUCAUUCUUCCCCAGGCUCCAGCAAAUUGCUAUGUCUUAUUUAUCUUGUUCUCCACCCAAACAGAGGAGAACUUUUUCUUCUUAAAAUUGAGAUCUAUUUCUGGUAAAAUUUCUCCCCUUAAAUUUUGGGUUUUCUUUUUGAGGAAUGUUUAUUUUGGUUUGGCUAAUUGGAAGGGCAGUGUUGACAG